UGUUUGUGUGUGUGUGUGUGUGUGUAUAAAGCAAUUUCUAUUUAAAUCAUAUAAUUUAAGGCCUGCAGUAAUCAACAAUGGAAUGUGGGACCAGAUAAGGGUGGACCAUGGAAAAGAGUUUUUCUUGACUCUAUUUAUGCAAGAAAUUCUUGCUGACCACAGAAUGAAUACAGCAACACCACCAUAUCGUCAGACCACAUCUACAAAGGAGGCUCUUGUUCAGCUGGUCGACCAAGAACUGAUUGAUAUGGACUGCAACCUAACAAGAUACUGUGUGUCUAACCUUGUCUGUCAGCUGUGUCAUCUGGGCAUUAGCAGGGUAGUAGAGGCAUGGAACAACCACAGGAUUCCUGGAAAAGGAAUCCCCAACCAGAUUGCACAGGGUGGUUGUGCAAAAAAAAUCUCAGCAGCACUACUGCCUCAUGGAACUGAAGCAGCUGAUCUGUACAUGAACACACUGGGAUCAUCUUUGACAAGGGUUUCGGCCUUUGGAACAGACCCUUUUACAAGUGAACAUGAGAAGGCUACAGUGGAACAACUGUUUUCAGAAAAGUGGCCAGACAUCACUUACUUGCUCAAUAAUACGGUCAACAAAAACUUUUUGCCUUUUAAAGAGGCUUUGGUCUGUUUAGUAAAUUUAACUCAAAGAUACUCUUAAAGAGCAUGCCUUCUAAUUGUUCAAUGCUGCUUUCCAUCAAGUGUUUUUUCUAGAAACAAAAUAUUACACACAAAUUUAAGCAUCAACAUGAUGCUGAUAAAUUAAAGUAUUUCUUUUUAGUUCUUGUUUUAAGUAGUUGUGCAACAAAACUUUACACAACAACUGUCAAAUAAACUACUGAACUAAACUUGAAUUGCUGAACA
ensembl:lncRNA